GAUGAACGCUGGCGGCGUGCUUAACACAUGCAAGUCGAACGGAAAGGCCCAAGCUUGCUUGGGUACUCGAGUGGCGAACGGGUGAGUAACACGUGGGUGAUCUGCCCUGCACUUCGGGAUAAGCCUGGGAAACUGGGUCUAAUACCGGAUAGGACCACAUUUUGGAUGGUGUGGUGGAAAGUUUUUCGGUGUGGGAUGAGCUCGCGGCCUAUCAGCUUGUUGGUGGGGUAAUGGCCUACCAAGGCGUCGACGGGUAGCCGGCCUGAGAGGGUGUACGGCCACAUUGGGACUGAGAUACGGGCCAGACUCCUACGGGGGGCAGCAGUGGGGAAUAUUGCACAAUGGGCGCAAGCCUGAUGCAGCGACGCCGCGUGGGGGAUGACGGCCUUCGGGUUGUAAACUCCUUUCGCUAGGGACGAAGCGUUUUUGUGACGGUACCUGGAGAAGAAGCACCGGCUAACUACGUG
rnacentral:rRNA from 1 species